GAUCAAAGCCGAGUAUGUGUAAAAAUAAAAUAAUUUCUUGUAUUUCUGGUUAUGUAAAAUCAAUAGAUCUACCCUAACUGUUUACAAAAACAAAAAUAAAAAGUAAAGAAAAUUAAAGUACCGCUUGAACAUUUUUUUUACUCCAUUUAAUGAUGCUUUACGCGCGAUGUAUACUUUUAAUACUACUCACUAUGAGAAAGAAAGGUCGAGAUAAAUUGGGCUUUGCUUGUGUUUUGUUCUUUUCCUAUGAUUUUUGUUUUUUUUAUUCAAUAUUUUAGCUUUUCAAUGUGUUUGAAUAUUAUACCACUAUUUAUAUUGCUUCGAACAUUCGCUGCAUUUUACACAUGAACGUGAAAACUACUUGUUUGAUGCAUUGACAUGGAAGAAAUGAUGCAUAUAGAAUGGCAUGGAAAUUUAUUAUACAAAACCUAUACGUGUGUCGAAUCGAGUAUAAUGAACUGAAGACGAACAGUCGUGAUUCCUAGAGGAUGAUGAUCGGUUUACUGCUGUCGAGGGAAAUACUCAUUUGGCACAGGUCGUUUGACAUUACAUUAGUUUUAUUAUCAUAUCACGUCUAUUUUAAGUUAAUCAAAUUGACUGACACGAUAUAAUUUACUGUAGAAAUCAAAAACUGCUUUUACGCGUGUAGUAGGAUUUGAUAAAUAUUAAGUAAUGUGAUAAUGUUAUGAUGAAACAAUCUUUGCGAUUGUAUAAACGGUCGACUCUUCACAUCUCGAUAUCGAAGAGACCACCGAGCUAAA